AGUCCCUCUGGGGUGGCCCAAGCAGGGCACAGGGCGGGGAGCCAGGCUCUUCAGGGCCCCACCACAGGCUGGCCCUGCACCCCAUCCUGCCUUCUCUCCCCACUGUGGGCCCAGAACUUGCCCCGUGGGGGCCGGGAAGCACCCACCACCCCCACCCCUAGCUGCUCUCAGCCAGAGCCCAGCUGGCCUUGCAGGAUUGAUUUUCCAGCAAAAAACAACAGCAGAGAAACCCAAGAGCAGCUGCAUGAGCCCUCCCAGGCCUCCCCCCGCAGCCAGCACUCCCUGCAGCAAAGAAAACCAUCUGGCCACUGGGCCCUGAGCCCGGCGCCCGGAGGAGGACCUGCUCCCCAGGCUCUGCUCCCCAGGCUGGCCCUGGGCCUCUCCCGGCCUGACCCGCUCCCCUUGGCAUCAAGGCCCAGGAGGGACGGGGUGGCCCGGCCAGGGCGUGGGUGUUCCCCGGCCCCUCUGAGCACCAGCACCUGGCCGUGCAGCAUCGAGGACAGGAGGAACUGGAGCCUCAUUGGCCGGCCCGGGGCGCCGGCCUCGGGCUUAAAUAGGAGCUCCGGGCUCUGGCU
rnacentral:sRNA from 1 species